CAGCUGGACCGGACGGCCGCUCUUGUCGCGUCAAGUGAUGAGGGAGGAAAGUCCGAACUCCGCAGAGCAGUGUGCCGGAUAACGUCCGGGAGGCCGGGUUCAAGCCCGGUUGACGGAAAGUGCCACAGAAAAUAUACCGCCUCGGCGGCAACGCCGGAGUAAGGGUGAAAAGGUGCGGUAAGAGCGCACCGCCGCUGCAGUAAUGCAGCGGGCAGGGCAAACCCCACACGGAGCAAGACCAAAUAGGGAGGGAGCGCGGAAUUUCGGUUCCGCGCACGCGCCGGCUCGGCGCGUCAAACCUCCGGGUAGGUCGCUAGAGCCUCGCAGCGAUGCCGGGCCCAGAGGAAUGGCCGUCCCGCCCGGAGCGAUCCGGCGGACAGAAUUCGGCUUACAGGUCCGGCUGCCAC
rnacentral:RNase_P_RNA from 1 species